AACCUGUGGUGUAGUGGGUCAGCGCAUAUGGCUGUUAACCAGAAGGUUGGUGGUUCGAGCCCACCCAGGGACG